CCUAGGGCGGCAGCAGUGGGGAAUAUUGGACAAUGGGCGAAAGCCUGAUCCAGCCAUGCCGCGUGUGUGAAGAAGGCCUUCGGGUUGUAAAGCACUUUCAGUGGGGAAGAAAGCCUUGGGGCUAAUACCCUCGAGGAAGGACAUCACCCACAGAAGAAGCACCGGCUAACUCCGUGCCAGCAGCCGCGGUAAUACGGAGGGUGCGAGCGUUAAUCGGAAUUACUGGGCGUAAAGCGCGCGUAGGCGGUCUGAUAAGCCGGUUGUGAAAGCCCCGGGCUCAACCUGGGAACGGCAUCCGGAACUGUCAGGCUAGAGUGCAGGAGAGGAAGGUAGAAUUCCCGGUGUAGCGGUGAAAUGUGUAGAGAUCGGGAGGAAUACCAGUGGCGAAGGCGGCCUUCUGGACUGACACUGACGCUGAGGUGCGAAAGCGUGGGUAGCAAACAGGAUUAGAUACCCUUGUAGUC
rnacentral:rRNA from 1 species